rnacentral:tRNA from 1 species
AGGAGUAUAGCUUAGUGAUAGAGUGCAUGUUUGACAUGCACGAGGUCCUGGGUUCAAGCCCCAAUGCCACCA